GAUGAACGCUGGCGGCGUGCCUAAUACAUGCAAGUCGAGCGAACAGACGAGGAGCUUGCUCCUCUGAUGUUAGCGGCGGACGGGUGAGUAACACGUGGAUAACCUACCUAUAAGACUGGGAUAACUUCGGGAAACCGGAGCUAAUACCGGAUAACAUGUUGAACCGCAUGGUUCAACAGUGAAAGACGGUCUUGCUGUCACUUAUAGCUGGAUCCGCGCCGCAUUAGCUGGUUGGUAAGGUAACGGCUUACCAAGGCAACGAUGCGUUGCCGACCUGAGAGGGGGAUCGGCCACCUGGGAAGUUAGACACGGUCCAGACUCCUACGGGAGGCAGCAGUAGGGAAUCUUCCGCAAUGGGCGAAAGCCUGACGGAGCAACGCCGCGUGAGUGAAGAAGGCCUUCGGAGCGUAAAACCCUGCUAUUAGGGAAGAACAAAUGUGUAAGUAACUAUGCACGUCUUGACGGUACCUAAUCAGAAAGCCACGGCUAACUACGUG
rnacentral:rRNA from 1 species